rnacentral:rRNA from 1 species
UACGUAGGGUGCAAGCGUUUGUCCGGAUUUAUUGGGCGUAAAGAGCUCGUAGGCGGUCUGUCGCGUCGAAUGUGAAAGCCCAGGGCUCAACCCUGGGUCUGCAUUCGAUACGGGCAGACUAGAGUAUGGCAGGGGAGACUGGAAUUCCUGGUGUAGCGGUGAAAUGCGCAGAUAUCAGGAGGAACACCGGUGGCGAAGGCGGGUCUCUGGGCCGAUACUGACGCUGAGGAGCGAAAGCGUGGGGAGCGAACAGG